rnacentral:tRNA from 1 species
GCCUGGGUGGCCCAGUGGUUGAGUGUCUGCCUUCAGCUCAGGGCGUGAUCCCAGGGUCCCGGGAUCAAGUCCCGCCUCAGGCU